AGUGAACGCUGGCGGUAGGCCUAACACAUGCAAGUCGAACGGCAGCACAGUAAGAGCUUGCUCUUACGGGUGGCGAGUGGCGGACGGGUGAGGAAUACAUCGGAAUCUACUUUUUCGUGGGGGAUAACGUAGGGAAACUUACGCUAAUACCGCAUACGACCUACGGGUGAAAGCAGGGGAUCUUCGGACCUUGCGCGAUUGAAUGAGCCGAUGUCGGAUUAGCUAGUUGGCGGGGUAAAGGCCCACCAAGGCGACGAUCCGUAGCUGGUCGGAGAGGAUGAGCAGCCACACUGGAACUGAGACACGGUCCAGACUCCUACGGGAGGCAGCAGUGGGGAAUAUUGGACAAUGGGCGAAAGCCUGAUCCAGCCAUACCGCGUGGGUGAAGAAGGCCUUCGGGUUGUAAAGCCCUUUUGUUGGGAAAGAAAAGCAGCAGGUUAAUACCCCGCUGUUCUGACGGUACCCAAAGAAUAAGCACCGGCUAACUUCGUG
rnacentral:rRNA from 1 species